GGAGCAAGGACCGGACGAGACGCUACGCCUGAAAACAGGCGGCGGGCGAGGGACGAGGCUUACCACGGCACCACGCGAGUGGAAAGGGCCGUCUCCGCUAGCGGCGGCCCACACCAGCUCACCGAGGGGCGGCAGCGCGCGGCCCGGCUGCCGGACCGUACCAUCCCGGGCGGUGGAGCCGCCGCGGAGGGGCGCGCGCGAGCCGAGGGCGCACCCGGGAGGCCCAGGUAGCCCGGGGGCCGGUGCUGGGGCGCCGGGCAGGCCCGGCUCCCGCCUCGACCCACCCGGAGCCAGCCCCCUCUGCGGACACGACAUCCCCAUGGGGACGGUGGCGCGAAACGCCCCACUCUGCCGCACCCAAACUCUGCAGACCCCCAGCUUCCCUCGGCGGCCGCGACCUCCCGCCUCCCCGUCUGCCGCUGAGGGCCCGCGGCGUACACAAUAGGCUUCCCAGAAGGGUUAAGAGGCAGAGGUAGAAGAAAUACGGACUUUAAUGAAGAGUUUUCCCUUUGGUAUAAGUGAGACCCGUGGAAACAUCCAAACAACAGCAAAAGGAGGCCAGGAUGAAAACGGUCAACUCUCCCUUAUCCACAAGGCCAAAAGAUGGGGGCCGGCUUGCUGUGGUGUGGCCACCCCGGGCCUAGGCUGGGCCGGGCCUGUAGAAGGUACUCAGGAACUGCAGGUUUUGCGUUUCCCCUCCAUGAAACUGACAGGCAUUCGGGCUGACUUCUGCCUCUCAGUCUCGCGGUAAGAGACCCAAGUUUUUCUAGUCCUAGAUGGAAAUAAAUUUCAUCUGCCUCA
rnacentral:antisense_RNA from 1 species